UAGCUUAUGCAUUGUUCUACGGUUUGGCGUGGGCAUCUUGGGUGGCAUAUUUGAGUGCCUCUUUCGGAGCCAUUUAUGUCCUUGUGACACCUUCUACCUAUGCUAUAGUUUCCAAAGCAUCAAGCUCAGCAGAUCAGGGAAAAGCACAAGGAUUUGUUGCUGGUGUGCAAUCAGUAGCAAGUUUGUUAUCCCCUCUGGCAAUGAGUCCAUUAACUUCAUGGUUUCUAUCUAGCAAUGCCCCAUUCAACUGCAAAGGUUUCAGCAUCAUAAUUGCAUCACUAUGCAUGAUGGUUGCUUUAUGCAUUGCUUGCCUGCUUAAACUGGAGCAACAUUCAACGCGGGCGGAAGACACUGAAACAACACAUUUUAUCUGAAAAUUAAUUUUCUACGCGAUCGAUUAGUUUUCUGAGACGG
rnacentral:misc_RNA from 1 species